GGGUGGGUGAGGUGGCACCUGAACCUAGAAACUAGAAGAAAGGCCUCGUGCUGGUUCUGUGGUUUCCUGAGGGUUGUCACGUGCUUUUUGGCUCUCCUGCAGUCACAAAGGGCUAUUUAUCCCCAGUGCUAUGCUCCUGUGACACGUCUGUAAUUGUGCGAUAAUCUAAGCACCCUCACACAGAUUUACAGAGGCACUGCAUCAUAUUGUGUGGAUAUGCUCUCAGUCACAGGGAAUAAAGAAUGUUUCCCGAGAGCCCUUCUACCUGCUCGUGGCCUGAACAAUGGUCAACAAUUGCCAAGAAUACUGUGGACUUGAAGAUACAAAGUUCUCUUAAAUUCAAUCAACUUCCAGAGAAGAACUUCAGAAGAGAAAGUUACAGAAACAUUUUCCUCAAUAUUUCAACUCUUGAGGGAUUUCUCAUCCGAGGUUGGAAAGAAGUGAAAUUUCUUAAAAGAAAAGAAUCUGUUAAGUAUUGCUAAGCAGCUGUUCUGUGUAAAUAGACUGAGGAGACAAAAAUUUUAAAGUUCUAACUGGAGCAACCACAGAACUUCUUGGAGUCACCAGUUGCUAAUACAAGUCAUGCUUGUGCAUUCUGCUCUGUCACUUGAAUUUUAUUAUUACCUUCUACUCAUGCUGAGAAUGAAAACUUUUUCCUACUUUCAAAUAUUGGAAAAUGUGGAUUAAAUCUCUUCAUGCUUUGGAAUUUAUGACAUAAUAAUUGUUCCAAUUCUAGUAAAAUACACAAUAUUGGCUUUGAGGAAAAAGUAAUGAAGAUUGAGAAAACACCGUAUGGCUUUCCUGUAGCUGAUUUCUAGAGUGCAGGUGCUCACCCUCUGGUCCCAGUUGUGUGCUUGAGGAUUUGUUUCCAGUCCUACCUUUUCUGGGCAUUGUACUUGCACAGUUUUGCUCAACUUUGCACAAAAUUCUGGUACAACUGGCUUUUUC
rnacentral:lncRNA from 1 species